rnacentral:rRNA from 1 species
CAGUCGAGGGGCAGCGGGGCGGCAGGCUUGCCUGCCGCCGCCGGCGACCGGCGCACGGGUGAGUAACACGUAUGCAACCUGCCCGUGGCAGGGGGAUAAGCGGGGGAAACCCCGUCUAAUACCGCGUAACGCGGCCUUGGGGCAUCCCCUGGCCGCCAAAGGGAGCAAUCCCGGCCACGGAUGGGCAUGCGGCGCAUUAGCUAGUCGGCGGGGUAACGGCCCACCGAGGCGACGAUGCGUAGGGGUUCUGAGAGGAAGGCCCCCCACACUGGUACUGAGACACGGACCAGACUCCUACGGGAGGCAGCAGUGAGGAAUAUUGGUCAAUGGGCGCGAGCCUGAACCAGCCAAGUCGCGUGAGGGAGGACGGCCCUACGGGUUGUAAACCUCUUUUGCCGGGGAGCAACGGGCGUCACGUGUGGCGCCACUGAGAGUACCCGGAGAAAAAGCAUCGGCUAACUCCGUGCCAGCAGCCGCGGUAAUACGGAGGAUGCGAGCGUUAUCCGGAUUUAUUGGGUUUAAAGGGUGCGUAGGCGGAUCGUUAAGUCAGUGGUCAAAUUGAGGGGCUCAACCCCUUCCCGCCAUUGAAACUGGCGUUCUUGAGUGGAAGAGAAGUAUGCGGAAUGCGUGGUGUAGCGGUGAAAUGCAUAGAUAUCACGCAGAACCCCGAUUGCGAAGGCAGCAUGCCGGCUUCCGACUGACGCUGAAGCACGAAAGCGUGNGGAUCGAACAGGAUUAGAUACCCNGGUAGUCCACGCGGUAAA